CCUACGGGAGGCAGCAGUAGGGAAUAUUGCUCAAUGGGGGAAACCCUGAAGCAGCAACGCCGCGUGGAGGAUGAAGGUUUUCGGAUUGUAAACUCCUUUUGUUAGAGAAGAUAAUGACGGUAUCUAACGAAUAAGCACCGGCUAACUCCGUGCCAGCAGCCGCGGUAAUACGGAGGGUGCAAGCGUUACCAGGAAUCACUGGGCGGAAAGAGCGCGUAGGCGGGAUAGCAAGUCAGAUGUGAAAUCCUAUGGCUUAACCAUAGAACUGCAUUUGAAACUGUUAUUCUAGAGUAUGGGAGAGGUAGGUGGAAUUCUUGGUGUAGGGGUAAAAUCCGUAGAGAUCAAGAGGAAUACUCAUUGCGAAGGCGACCUGCUAGAACAUAACUGACGCUGAUGCGCGAAAGCGUGGGGAGCAAACAGGAUUAGAUACCCUAGUAGUC
rnacentral:rRNA from 1 species